GACGAACGCUGGCGGCGUGCUUAACACAUGCAAGUCGAGCGGUAAGGCCCUUUCGGGGGUACGACGAGCGGCGAACGGGUGAGUAACACGUGGGUGACCUGCCCUUAGCUCUGGGAUAAGCCUGGGAAACUGGGUCGUAAUACCGGAUAUGACUCCAUAACGCAUGUUGUGGGGUGGAAAGCCUUGUGCGGCUAGGGAUGGGCCCGCGGCCUAUCAGCUUGUUGGUGGGGUGAUGGCCACCAAGGCGACGACGGUAGCCGGCCUGAGAGGGCGACCGGCCACACUGGGACUGAGACACGGCCCAGACUCCUACGGGAGGCAGCAGUGGGGAAUCUUGCGCAAUGGGCGGAAANCCUGACGCAGCGACGCCGCGUGGGGA
rnacentral:rRNA from 1 species